rnacentral:rRNA from 1 species
AGAGUUUGAUCCUGGCUCAGGAUGAACGCUGGCGGUAUGCUUAACACAUGCAAGUCGAACGGGGGGCUUNGGCCCCUAGUGGCGGACGGGUGAGUAACGCGUGAGAAUCUGCCUUCAGGUCGGGGACAACAGCUGGAAACGGNUGCUAAUACCGGAUGUGCCGAGAGGUGAAAGCUAUAGCGCCUGAAGAUGAGCUCGCGUCUGAUUAGCUAGUUGGUGGGGUAAGAGCCUACCAAGGCGACGAUCAGUAGCUGGUCUGAGAGGAUGAUCAGCCACACUGGGACUGAGACACGGCCCAGACCCCUACGGGAGGCAGCAGUGGGGAAUUUUCCGCAAUGGGCGAAANCCUGACGGAGCAAUACCGCGUGAGGGAGGAAGGCUCUUGGGUUGUAAACCUCUUUUGAUCCAGGAAGAAGGUCUGACGGUACUAU